UAUUUGGCAGUUGGGUGGGGUAAGGUGGAGGUUACGGGCAAGUAUCUGACACAGGUACCUGUUCCCAGUGCUUGGCGAUGGAGCGUAGCUGGAUUUGACUCUGGGUCUUAUUGCUACUCUGUCAUUUCCAGCAUCUAGGGAUAGGGGAGGUUUGGGGAUUCUGGCUCCCAGUGUAGGGCAGAAGUGUUUAGAGGUAACGCUGCACUUCCAGAUCUCCAGGCCAGGUUGGAUGGGGCCUUGGGCAGCCUAAUUUAGUGGGAUGUCCCUGCCCGUGGCAAGGGGUUGGAACUGGAUGAUCUUUGAGGUCCCCUCCAACCCUAACUAUUCUAUGAUUCCAUAAUCUCCUUCAAGCUGCGACAGUAUGUACAGGGUCGUAGGCACUGACUGAGACCUACUUGCAAGGGGUAACUGAGGUUGUUUAAAAAAUCAGGUUGCGAUAAAGUUAUAUCUGCUUGCUUUCCCACAAAACCUGUUCCCUUGUGCUCUGCUUUCUACGCUCACUCCCAGUUAAAUAAUCUUGGAACCUGUUCACAAGCUUCUGUGGUCUAAAUCUACUCCUCAGGAAGACUGCAUUUCCCUCCAGCAGUGUAAUCUCCCGGGUGUCCUGGAACAGCAGGACACUGGCACUGUGCUUCUGCUGCACUGGAAAUCAGGGAACACUCUUGACACUUGCAGAAGCGUGAAGCGUUGCUGGGACUACUGAAAACCCAAGAGCCACUGGGACUUUUCUGCAGAAUGAAAUCCCAGAUGAAAAGGACUGUGCAGCUUGCCUCUGUGGGGAGCCGUCAUCAGGGAGGUGCAAGCGGCUGCCGGCGGAGCUAACUCUCACCAUGUUGCAAUGGCAAGGAAAAAUGCUGCCCUAGUGCUGGCUGCUCAAAGUUUCUGCUGCUUCAGGGGAGCUAUAAUAUUGUACGUAGUGUUUGGGUGGAUAUUUACAUACUAAGUUAAGCAUUGUUAUUAUAAUAAAACUCAUGAAGGAUAUACAAAAUAUCACAGGAUUCUUUUUGUCAGGGAAAAGAGUUUUUUCCACGGUUUCUCUUCCCUGAACUUUAGUGAAGUAUACUUACUGGUGAAGUACCAUGAUCAGCAAC